AUACGAAGGGUGCAAGCGUUAAUCGGAAUUACUGGGCGUAAAGCGCGCGUAGGUGGUUUUGUAAGUUGGAGGUGAAAGCCCCGGGCUCAACCUGGGAAUUGCCUCCAAAACUGCAUGACUAGAGUACGGUAGAGGGUAGUGGAAUUUCCUGUGUAGCGGUGAAAUGCGUAGAUAUAGGAAGGAACACCAGUGGCGAAGGCGACUCCCUGGCCUGAUACUGACACUGAGGUGCGAAAGCGUGGGGAGCAAACAGAAUUAGAUACCCUGUUAGUCCACGCCGUAAACGAUGUCAACUAGCCGUUGGGAUCCUUGAGAUCUUAGUGGCGCAGCUAACGCAUUAAGUUGACCGCCUGGGGAGUACGGCCGCAAGGUUAAAACUCAAAUGAAUUGACGGGG
rnacentral:rRNA from 1 species